rnacentral:rRNA from 1 species
AACGCGAAACGGGGGGCAACUCCCGGAGUAGAGUGGCGAAAGGGGCAGUAAGGCAUGGGUAACCUACCCCGGGGACUGGAAUAGCUAUCCCAACGGAUAGGUAAUACCGGGCGACCUGACGAGGGGGCAUCUCUUUGUCAGCAAAUGAGUUUCGCCCUGGGAGGGGCUCAUGUAGUAUUAGCUUGUUGGUGAGGUAACGGCUCACCAAGGCAAAGAUGCUUAGCGGGUGUGAGAGCACGACCCGCGCCACUGGCACUGAGACACUGGCCAGACUCCUACGGGAGGCUGCAGUCGAGGAUCUUCGGCAAUGGGCGCAAGCCUGACCGAGCGACGCCGCGUGUGCGAUGAAGGCCUUCGGGUUGUAAAGCACUGUCGAGGGGGAGAAAAGCCCGCAAGGGUCUGAUCUAUCCCUGGAGGAAGCACGGGCUAAGUUCGUGCCAGCAGCCGCGGUAAGACGAACCGUGCGAACGUUGUUCGGAAUCACUGGGCUUAAAGGGCGCGUAGGCGGUCGAUCAAGUCUGGGGUGAAAUCUUUCGGCUUAACCGGAAAAGUGCCUUGGAUACUGAUCGGCUGGAGGGAGGUAGGGGCAGCUGGAACUUCCGGUGGAGCGGUGAAAUGCGUUGAUAUCGGAAGGAACGCCGGUGGCGAAAGCGAGCUGCUGGAC